CGUGGACAACCUAACCUAUGGAGGGGGAUAACCCCGGGAAACUGGGGAUAAUACCCCAUAGACUAUAAAUGCUGGAAUGCUUUGUAGUUGAAAGGUCCGCCGCCAUAGGAUGGGUCUGCGGCCGAUUAGGUUGUUGUUGGGGUAACGGCCCAACAAGCCUGUAAUCGGUACGGGUUGUGGGAGCAAGAGCCCGGAGAUGGAUUCUGAGACACGAAUCCAGGCCCUACGGGGCGCAGCAGGCGCGAAAACUUUACAAUGCGGGAAACCGUGAUAAGGGAACUCCGAGUGCCCGUAAAAUCGGGCUGUCCAUCUGUGUAAAAAACAGGUGAAGAAAGGGCCGGGCAAGACCGGUGCCAGCCGCCGCGGUAAUACCGGCGGCUCGAGUGGUGGCCACUAUUACUGGGCUUAAAGCGUUCGUAGCUGGUCUGUUAAGUCUCUGGGGAAAUCUACUGGCUUAACCAAUAGGCGUCUCAGGGAUACUGGCAGACUAGGGACCGGGAGAGGUGAGAGGUACUCCAG
rnacentral:rRNA from 1 species